UGCUGGUUAGCUCAGUCGGUACAGCAUAAGACUCAUCAUCUCAGGGUCAUGAGUUCAAGCACCACGUUGGGCAA